rnacentral:lncRNA from 10 species
UACACUUUGUACUUUAAUAUGCAAACUGCCUGCCUGCUCCAGAGAAGCAGCCUUUGUUCCUCAGUUCAUCGCAACACUCAGCCUGUCAGUCAGGUUGUGGGAUCCCUCCUAUCCAGGAACUGUAUGCUGUUGUCCCGGUUCUGACACUUUCCCUCUGAGUCCUUGGACACCUUACCUAACCUCUUGGAAGCUCCUGUCUGUGAAGGGUGUGCACAGAGAGCUUCGGUAGCCUGCGAAGCAGCCAUUUUCACUUCCACGGAGCAGAUGCUGGCCUGGGUGCUGGAAUAUGGAAAUGAGGAAGAUCCUGCCUGAGGAUUUCAUGACAGUGCUGCGAUUACCGACGUGAGCCACUGUGCCCAGCCUCACUUUAAAAAAAAAAAAAGGUUAUGAAGCAUCUCAACACAAGACCUCCUUUGCUCAUCACAACCACCCAGUGAAGCAGGCAAGACAACAGAAACUCCCCACCUGUGAUAGAUGUGAGGCCUGAAGUCUCCCACAUACCCACGGCAGAUGCAACGCACAGCGGUGACCAAUGGACAUGGUCCAAGCAGACCCUUUCCUGAGACUUUCUAAAUGGAGCUGUGUGAGAAGAGUUCCUUUCUGUUUUGCCUCUGGAGCUGAAGGUUGAGAACUCAGAGCUGCCCGUGUUCUACCCUGUGAAAAUAAAGGCAAUCAAUUCACAGAGACAAGCAGAAACAAGGCGUCCAGAGCAAGUCCUUCACAUCACCCUGGACACCCUGGCCCUGAUUUCCACUCCCUGCCAGGCUUGUUUGUCCAAUUCUUCUUUUUGUUCCAAGCACCAUCCCAGCAGGCUUAGUUACCUGUAAGCAUUUGGUUAAUCUCUCUUCUCAGCUAGACCGUAGGCUCCCCGAGUGCAGAAACUAUGUUUAUUUUGGUCUCUGCUGGAUCUCCAGCACCUAAAUAAAUGUUUAUGGUUGACUGCAAGGCAGAUCUGUGUGGGGAAUGAAGAAGAGUAUUAAGACCUCCCAGAUGGGCUGCUGGAGGCCUGUCCAAGGUGGAACUUUGCAUGGUGAGAAAUGCAAUUCAGUAGGAAAACAAAGAACUCCUUCAUCCUCCUCUAGAUUCUGCAGGCAAGUGAUCAGCUCAAGGUGAAGGAUCUAAAACCUGAAAAGAGGCCAAAUGAUUCCUCAAAACCACGCAAGUACGAAGUAGCAGAGCGGAUCUCAAAUCCAGAGCACUGCGUGUUUUGAAAUAUACAAAUAGUGGGAAACGAAAUCUUUGUUCUGGAUGCAGUUAUAAUUUGGAAAGCGAGGAAAUAAAUUAUAACAAGGGGAAAAAACAGACACAGAGGGAUUGAAAUGCAUAACAAUAGAGAUGAAACACGAAGAGUGAUAAAUGAAGAUUGAGUGUGCACACCUUCUGGAGGAGCCCUGAUUGAGUAUUUUAAAAUACUACUAAAGUCAUGCCGUGUGACUUCUGAAGCUAGCUCCUAAGAAGUCCUUGCAGCUUCUGCCUGCGACUCUUAGAACACUUGCUUUGAAGGAUGCCAGAUGCUGUCUUAAAAGUCUGAGCACUCUGAAACCAUCAUGCUGUGAGGAAGCCCAAGCUAACCACAUGGGCAAAAAAGAUGCCCUCUGACUGCCACCAUUUGAGACACUCUAAUUAAGAACUGCCUCAUUGAGCCCAUGAGGCCCUGUGAAUGAUAAUAAUAAAUUGUUUUUAACCACUAUGUUUUUGGAUUUGUUAUAAGUUUAUAGAUAACAAGAAAAAGUUAUAUUAGCAUGGUAAUAAAAUUAUGGAUAUGUGUAAGUUUGGUGUUUUGUUUCUUUUUUUUUUUUACACUAAGCCUAUAUUACUGUUGUAAUUUAGGAAAUCACUUGUUUUCCUCCAGCACUUCAAUGUAAGAGUGGCACUACUUAGAAUGUACUUCUUAAGAUAUGGCU